rnacentral:lncRNA from 1 species
AGCUGAUUGGGACGCUCAAGCCUGGAGCAGUUUCAGAUCACUUUUUCUUCAAGCAAGAAUGAGUGUUGCUAAAGUGUGAACGAGUGGAAAAGGAAAGGAGCCAAAUCCCUCCAAAGAAUCACAACAGAGGAGGGUCGUCAGAGGAAUAGCAGAGCAUCACUGCAAGUAAUCCUUGGCUUCACACCAUACAAGAGAGAAGGAAGGAAACAGAAAGAAUGAGAAUGUUCAAUGUGAAGAGAACAAUAUAGCACCGAUAGAAAGGAGAGGGCAAAAGAUAGGAGCAACUGAAAUACCCA